GACGAACGCUGGCGGCGUGCUUAACACAUGCAAGUCGAACGGAAAGGCCUCUUUCGGGGGGUACUCGAGUGGCGAACGGGUGAGUAACACGUGAGUAACCUGCCCUUGACUUUGGGAUAACUUCAGGAAACUGGGGCUAAUACCGGAUAGGAGCUCCUGCUGCAUGGUGGGGGUUGGAAAGUUUCGGCGGUUGGGGAUGGACUCGCGGCUUAUCAGCUUGUUGGUGGGGUAGUGGCUUACCAAGGCUUUGACGGGUAGCCGGCCUGAGAGGGUGACCGGCCACAUUGGGACUGAGAUACGGCCCAGACUCCUACGGGAGGCAGCAGGGGGGAAUAUUGCACAAUGGGUGGAAGCCUGAUGCAGCAACGCCGUGUGCGGGAUGACGGCCUUCGGGUUGUAAACCGCUUUCGCUCAUGACGAAGCUUUGUGUGACGGUAGUGGGUAAAGAAGCACCGGCUAACUACGUG
rnacentral:rRNA from 1 species